UCAUGACGUAACGUCUAGUACGAAUUUGCGUUCGCAACUCCGCGCUGCGCCAUUUCACUGAACACCCGCCACACUGGAGACCGAAAUCGAGCAGAAACGCGGUCGACAAACGCGCGAUAUUGAAGAUCCAGCCAUGCAUCGGGAUUGUCCUCUUGACUGUAAGGUGUACGUGGGUAACCUUGGCAACAAUGGCAAUAAAUCCGAGCUGGAGAGAUCGUUUGGGUAUUACGGACCCCUGAGGAGCGUUUGGGUGGCCCGGAAUCCUCCCGGCUUUGCGUUUGUGGAGUUUGAGGACCCUCGCGAUGCCACAGAUGCCGUCAGAGAGCUGGACGGACGGACUCUUUGCGGUUGCCGGGUGAGGGUGGAGCUAUCCAACGGGGAGAAGCGAAAUCGUAACCGGGGUCCGCCUCCAUCCUGGAGCCGACGCCCACGCGAUGAACACCGUAGACGUAGCCCGACCGCCAGACGCAGAGUCACCACCAUGCCUCUCCUCACCACCCUCAGUCUACUAGUCCUCUUUCAGCAUCAUGUGACCAGCGUGCCCCAAUCAGCUGGCUGGGUCGGUGUCACAUGACCCAGGCACGGCCAGUCAUCAGGUGGCACCAGCCCAUUGGUUCCUGAGCAUGCUGUUGUCAGCUCCUCCGACCUUAACACCCAAUCGGCAGCGGCCCACUUCACAUUCCUCACCCAUCGGCGUUUAACGUUUACCAAUGUCUACACUUCCAAGCGGCAUCAUCAGCCUACAGCUAAGCAAUAAAAGCAGGAAAAAUCCACUACGUCCAGCCCCCAUCCGCAAGCCAGCUAAUCAGCGCCAGCUAAUCAGCUCGCGGCAUCUGGCCUGCACUUUCCCACCAAUUCUGCUCCCCGGCCGCCAGCCGUCUCCCCUUCGCCCUUUCUAGCUUGUUGAAAACCAAAAGCCUAGUAAGUUUUUCCUGCUUUAUACAGUUUAAUGCUGAAAUACAGAUGUAAGAUGAGGAGAAAUCUCCUGUGCAGUUGAGUCAAACAGAGUUGGUAUGAAAUCUCCUGAACACACACACAGAGAGAGAGAGAGAGAGAGAGAGAGCGGGGUUAAGCUAGGGAAGCAGACUGAUGGGGAGUCCAAACGGAGGUUCAGUGUGUGUCUUUUUUUCUUUCACUGUCUCCAUUCUGUCUGCUGUGCGUGAUUUCUAGACGCUGAUGUUAACUAGUUCUAGUCUCAGAGCAGUGUCGCGAGGUUCACCCAACCCUCGUGUGUUGAUGUUGUUGUUGAUGAUGUGAGAGCGGAUCUCCACUCCACCCCUGUAUCAGGGCGGUGUUGAGUUCUAGCCGGCUGGAGAUUCAGGGCUGUGGUCAUCUUCUGAACAGUCUGCUCACUCUUGUGCUCAUUUUCCCUCCUCUUCAGAUCUCCCAGGAAGAGGAGCUUCAGUCGUAGUCGCAGCAGAUCUUUGUCCAGAGAGCGCAGGAGGGAAAGAUCUCUGUCCCGUGACAGGAACCACAAACCCUCAAGAUCUUUCUCGCGAUCGAGGAGCCGUUCCAGAUCGACCGAGAGGA